GGACGAACGCUGGCGGCGUGCCUAAUACAUGCAAGUCGAACGCUUUGGUUUUCACCGGAGCUUCGCUACCACCGAAAACAAAAGAAGUGGCGGACGGGUGAGUAACACGUGGGUAACCUGCCCUCAAGCGGGGGAUAACACUUGGAAACAGGUGCUAAUACCGCAUAACAAUCAGAAUCGCAUGAUUUUGAUUUGAAAGGCGCUUUUGCGUCACUUGAGGAUGGACCCGCGGUGCAUUAGCUAGUUGGUGAGGUAACGGCUCACCAAGGCCACGAUGCAUAGCCGACCUGAGAGGGUGAUCGGCCACACUGGGACUGAGACACGGCCCAGACUCCUACGGGAGGCAGCAGUAGGGAAUCUUCGGCAAUGGACGAAAGUCUGACCGAGCAACGCCGCGUGAGUGAAGAAGGUUUUCGGAUCGUAAAACUCUGUUGUUAGAGAAGAACAAGGGUGAGAGUAGAAUGUUCACCCCUUGACGGUAUCUAACCAGAAAGCCACGGCUAACUACGUGCCAGCCGCUGC
rnacentral:rRNA from 1 species